rnacentral:rRNA from 1 species
UACGUAGGGUGCGAGCGUUGUCCGGAAUUAUUGGGCGUAAAGAGCUUGUAGGCGGUUUGUCGCGUCUGCUGUGAAAAUCCGGGGCUCAACUCCGGACUUGCAGUGGGUACGGGCAGACUAGAGUGUGGUAGGGGAGACUGGAAUUCCUGGUGUAGCGGUGAAAUGCGCAGAUAUCAGGAGGAACACCGAUGGCGAAGGCAGGUCUCUGGGCCACUACUGACGUG